rnacentral:rRNA from 1 species
AGCGAACGCUGGCAGCAGGCCUAACACAUGCAAGUCGAACGGAUCCUUCGGGAUUAGUGGCGGACGGGUGAGUAACACGUGGGAACGUGCCCUUUGGUUCGGAACAACUCAGGGAAACUUGAGCUAAUACCGGAUGUGCCCUUCGGGGGAAAGAUUUAUCGCCAUUGGAGCGGCCCGCGUCUGAUUAGCUAGUUGGUGAGGUAAAGGCUCACCAAGGCGACGAUCAGUAGCUGGUCUGAGAGGAUGAUCAGCCACAUUGGGACUGAGACACGGCCCAAACUCCUACGGGAGGCAGCAGUGGGGGAUCUUGCGCAAUGGGCGAAAGCCUGACGCAGCCAUGCCGCGUGAAUGAUGAAGGUCUUAGGAUUGUAAAAUUCUUUCACCGGGGACGAUAAUGACGGUACCCGGAGAAGAAGCCCCGGCUAACUUCGUGCCAGCCGCCGCGGUAA